GUUGCUGUUUUAUCACGGCUCGUCUUAAAUGCCUGAGUGUACCCUGUUUUGCAGCGUAUCCAGUGUAAUAAACAUUUCACUAGAGUUGGUUGAAAGACCACGUUGACUAUAUGGGCUCUAUGCUUCAAACCGUCUGCCAUGUGGACAAUUUCUUGACAAUUUGACCUCAAAUCGGGUGGGACUACCCGCUGAACUUAAGCAUAUCAAUAAGCGGAGGAAAAGAAACUAACAAGGAUUCCCCUAGUAACGGCGAGUGAAGAGGGAAAAGCUCAAAUUUUAAAUCUGGUGUCUUUGACUCCCGAGUUGUAAUCUAGAGAAGUGUUUUCCGUGUCGGACCGUGUACAAGUUCCCUGGAACGGGGCGUCAUAGAGGGUGAGAAUCCCGUAUAUGCCACGGACUACCGAUGCUCUGUGAUACACUCUCAACGAGUCGAGUUGUUUGGGAAUGCAGCUCAAAAUGGGUGGUAAAUUCCAUCUAAAGCUAAAUAUUGGCGAGAGACCGAUAGCGAACAAGUACCGUGAGGGAAAGAUGAAAAGCACUUUGGAAAGAGAGUGAAACAGUACGUGAAAUUGUUGAAAGGGAAGCGUUUGAAGUCAGUCGCAUCUGUUGGGGUUCAGCCUGGCUUUUGCCUGGUGUAUUUCCUUUCCGAUGGGUCAGCAUCAGUUUCGACCGAGGGAAAAAGACAUUUGGAAUGUGGCUGUCUUCGGGCAGUGUUAUAGCCUUGUGUUGUAUGUCUCGGUUGGGACUGAAGAUUGCAGCGCGCCAUAAAUGGGCGGGGGUCGCUCCCUCUCGACACGCGCUUAGGA
rnacentral:rRNA from 1 species